ACCUAUAUAGUAUACAAAUUAUUUUUGACUUCCAAUCAAAAGAUCUACAUCAAUAGUAUAGGUA
rnacentral:tRNA from 1 species